rnacentral:rRNA from 1 species
AACCUGGUUGAUCCUGCCAGUGAAGCACACUUCGGUCAUAGAUUAAGCCAUGCAAGUGUUAGUUCAGGCAACGAAACUGCGAACAGCUCAUUAACACGCUCAGAAUCUACUUGGUGGCAACCUUUCAGGUUUUAUUUGGAUAGCAGCAGUAAUUCUGGUGCUAAUACAUGCAAUUGUUUCACUGAGUUGAGAAACAGUGGAAAAGUUGACCCUUCGGGCACACCAAUCGAUUGAGCGACCUAUCAUGCUUGUACUUAGGGUCUUUACCUAGGUAGGCUAUCACGGGUAACGGGCGGUUACCGUCGGACUGCCGGAGAAGGCGCCUGAGAGAUAGCGACUAUAUCCACGGGUAGCAGCAGGCGCGAAACUUACCCACUCGAGACUUUCGGAGGUGGUAAUGACCAGUUACAUGUCAACCUUUUUGGUUGUUUGUAUAGGAUUGCACUUUUCCAGUGCAGUGAAACCUAGCAGAGGGCCAGUCUGGUGCCAGCAGCUGCGGUAAUUCCAGCUCUGCGAGUUUGCUCCCAUAUUGUUGCAGUUAAAACGCUCGUAGUCAGAAUUGCCUGCAAAGGCUUAUGAACUUCUGUUCGUUCACUGUGAACAAAUCAGGACGCUUAGUGUAUGGUUUCAGGAAUGACUUAGCGCAGUAUGAUAUCUUUACCUUUGGUAAGAUCAAAGAGAGCCACCGGGGGUAGAUCUAUUUCAUGGCGAACGGUGGAAUGUUUUGACCCAUGAGAGAGAAACGAAGGCGAAAGCAUCUACCUAGAGGGUUUCUGUCGAUCAAGGGCGAGAGUAGGAGUAUCCAACCGGAUCAGAGACCCGGGUAGUUCCUACCUUAAACGAUGCCGACAAGGGCUUGUCCUUAUAUAAGGGCAGGACCUUAGGAGAAAUCAUAGUUCUUGGGCUCUGGGGGAACUACGACCGCAAGGCUGAAACUUGAAGGAAUUGACGGAAGGGCACACCAGGGGUGGAGCUUGUGGCUUAAUUUGAAUCAACACGGGGAAACUUACCAGGACCAGAUGUUUUUUAUGACUGACAGGCUUCGGGUCUUUCAGGAUAUGAUUUUUGGUGGUGCAUGGCCGUUGGUGGUGCGUGGGUUGACCUGUCUAGCGUUGAUUCAGAUAACGAGCGAGAUUAUCGCCAAUUAAAUACUAGUUUCUGCUUUCAGAAAUACAGUUCUAAUUGGGACUCCCUGCGUAUCAAGCAGGAGGAAGAGGGUAGCAAUAACAGGUCCGUGAUGUCCUUUAGAUGCUCUGGGCUGCACGCGCGCUACAAUGUUAGGAUCAAAGAGAUGCUGUCCUGAAAAGGCUACAGCUACUCUCGCAAUACCUAACGUAGUUGGGAUUGAGGAUUGUAAUCAUCCUCAUGAACCAGGAAUCCCUUGUAAAUGCGUGUCAACAGCGCGCGUUGAAUACGUCCCUGCCCUUUGUACACACCGCCCGUCGCUCCUACCGAUUGGAUGACUCGGUGAAAUUAUCGGACCCUGCGGGGAAAGGUAAUUAAAUCACGUUAUCUAGAGGAAGGAGAAGUCGUAACAAGGUAACGGUAGGUGAACCUGCCGUUGGAUCAGU